GUCCACGCCCUAAACGAUGUCAACUAGGUGUUGGGAGGGUAAAACCUUUUAGUACCGGAGCUAACGCGUGAAGUUGACCGCCUGGGGAGUACGGCCGCAAGGUUAAAACUCAAAGGAAUUGACGGGGACCCGCACAAGCGGUGGAUGAUGUGGAUUAAUUCGAUGCAACGCGAAAACCUUACCUACCCUUGACAUGUCCAGGAGUCUUGAGAGAUUGAGAUGUGCCCGAAAGGGAACUGGAACACAGGUGCUGCAUGGCUGUCGU
rnacentral:rRNA from 1 species